rnacentral:ncRNA from 1 species
GUCGUUGCAAAAGUUAUCCUGCUUAGUACAAGAGGAACUGCGGAUUCAUAUAUUUGGCUCAUGCUCUUGUUAGAAAGAUUUUUGGCGCCAAGCAGGCAUCUGAAUGAUAAUGAAUGAGAAUGUCUCUAAGUCAGAAUCUUGCCUAUCGACUGGCUAUCGAUAAGUUGCUUCCGAAUUGCUUCAAAGUUGGCGGCAGACCGGUCUCCAUUUCAAGCUACAUUGCCAAACGUCAGCGUAACGUCGUCGGUUAGCAUAAACGAAAUAUUGUUUUGGCGGCAAAAACACUAAUCGCCCAACGAGUGAAACUGUAGUCAAAUGGCAGAGACUUCCGCAGAUGAUGGACUUGCCCAUCGAGAUACCGUAGCAACUACAGCUGCUGCAACACUGCGAUUUGUUGAGACUUUGCCUUUUAUUGGACCACUC